CAGUGUUCCCUAGUAUCUCAGUGUCCUCAGGUCUCCCAGUGUCCCCAUGUCACUAGGACACUGGGGGACAUUGAGAGACCUGGGGACACUGAGAUACUAGGGAACACU